AUUGAACGCUGGCGGCAGGCCUAACACAUGCAAGUCGAACGAGUGGCGGACGGGUGAGUAAUGUAUGGGAAACUGCCUGAUGGAGGGGGAUAACUACUGGAAACGGUAGCUAAUACCGCAUACCAUCAGAAGUGCCCAGAUGGGAUUAGCUAGUAGGUGGGGUAAUGGCUCACCUAGGCGACGAUCCCUAGCUGGUCUGAGAGGAUGACCAGCCACACAGGGACGGAGACACGGUCCAGACUCCUACGGGAGGCAGCAGUGGGGAAUAUUGCACAAUGGGAGCAAGCCUGAUGCAGCCAUGCCGCGUGUGUGAAGAAGGCCUUAGGGUUGUAAAGUACGUUCAGCGAGGAGGCGUUACUCGCAGAAGAAGCACCGGCUAACUCCGUGCCAGCAGCCGCGGUAAUAC
rnacentral:rRNA from 1 species